UACGUAGGGUGCAAGCGUUGUCCGGAAUUAUUGGGCGUAAAGAGCUCGUAGGCGGUUUGUUGCGUCGGCUGUGAAAACCUGAGGCUCAACCUCAGGCCUGCAGUCGAUACGAGCAGACUAGAGUGUUGCAGGGGAGACUGGAAUUCCUGGUGUAGCGGUGAAAUGCGCAGAUAUCUGGAGGAAUACCGGUGGCGAAGGCGGCAUCCUGGACCGGCAUUGACGCUGAGGAGCGAAAGCUAGGGGAGCAAACGGG
rnacentral:rRNA from 1 species